GAUGAACGCUGGCGGCGUGCCUAAUACAUGCAAGUCGAGCGAACAGACGAGGAGCUUGCUCCUUUGACGUUAGCGGCGGACGGGUGAGUAACACGUAGGUAACCUACCUAUAAGACUGGGAUAACUUCGGGAAACCGGAGCUAAUACCGGAUAAUAUUUCGAACCGCAUGGUUCGAUAGUGAAAGAUGGCUUUGCUAUCACUUAUAGAUGGACCUGCGCCGUAUUAGCUAGUUGGUAAGGUAACGGCUUACCAAGGCAACGAUACGUAGCCGACCUGAGAGGGUGAUCGGCCACACUGGAACUGAGACACGGUCCAGACUCCUACGGGAGGCAGCAGUAGGGAAUCUUCCGCAAUGGGCGAAAGCCUGACGGAGCAACGCCGCGUGAGUGAUGAAGGUCUUCGGAUCGUAAAACUCUUUUAUUAGGGAAGAACAAACGUGUAAGUAACUGUGCACGUCUUGACGUUACCUAAUCAGAAAGCCACGGCUAACUACGUG
rnacentral:rRNA from 1 species